CUAUUGAUAUGUGAUCUAUAUAUACUUGUAUAUGUAAAAGUAUAUUAUAUAUAUGGCGUAACAUAACCCCGUUCAUGUUGCAUGCAAUAGGGCGGAGGUAGAGCGUAUAUGCUAGGACCCGAAAGAUGGUGAACUAUACCUGAGCAGGAUGAAGUCAGAGGAAACUCUGGUGAAGGUCCGAAGCGAUUCUGACGUGCAAAUCGAUCGUCUGACUUUGGUAUAGGGGCGAAAGACUAAUCGAACUAUCUAGUAGCUGGUUCCCUCUGAAGUUUCCCUCAGGAUAGCUGGAAUACGUUAAAUAAAGCAGUUAUAUUCGGUAAAGCGAAUGAUUAGAGGAAUUGUGGGACGAAACGUCUUCAACCUAUUCUCAAACUUUCAAUGAGUAUGACAUCUCGCUUGCUUAAAAUUUUUAUGAAGCGUAGACAUUGAAUGUGUGCUCCAAGUGGGCCAUUUUUGGUAAGCAGAACUGGCGCUGUGGGAAUGAAUCGCGAACAAAUGAGUGUGAUCAUUAAGAGUGUGAUGAAACUUUUCCGUUUUACACGAAAGUUAUCAAAAAC
rnacentral:ncRNA from 1 species